ensembl:lncRNA trichohyalin-like
AAUAGCUUGUGAAUUUGUGAGAAAACUGGAAAAAUAUGCUGAGGUUAAAAGACAAUGAGAAAUAUGGAAUUGGAGCGUCUGGCUGCAGACACAGCACAGAUGGAGAAGGAGAAGCGAACUCUGGAAUGUGUUCUGAUUGACAGCAGGGACGAGAGAGACUCGAUUAGUUGCCAGCUGAAGCUGCCCAAACAGAGAGAAUCCUUUGUGUUUGACUUUAAAGACACUGAAAAAGAAGUUGAAACUAUACGUCAGCGUAAACAGACUCUGACAGCCGGAUCCUGCAAAGAGAGGAACGUCGUCAUCAUGUCUGUGCUGGAGAAAGAGGAGAUGGAAAGACAGCUGGACAACACGAAAACUGAACUGUUUGCUGAACAGCGACGUGCAAGAGAGGAGCUUGAGUCAAUGCAAGAGAAGUUGGAGGAGACUUGUGAGUUGCUUCAAAGAGCAACGGAGGCAGAAGCCUCACUAAGGGAGACGUGUGCUUGUCUGGAGGCGAAACAGAAGCAGAAAAAAGAGCAGCUUGAGGCUGCUGAGACUCGAGUAACGGAACUCCAUGUUGAACUGGGAGAAUAUAAUAUCAGGUUGGGAAGUCUGGAGAAGCUGUUGGCUCAGAAGGAGCUACAGCUGAUGGAGUUCCAGGAACAAUGUGAGGCCUUACAAGCGGACAGAGACAAGUUGAAAGUGGAGCUACAGCAGCUAAAAACCAGCUACUACAAAACACUGGAGGAAGCUCAGGAGCAAGCCUACAGAACGACGGUUAAUCAGCAGGUUGAGGAGGGGAAAGUGAAUGCGUUAAAAGAAGAGACAAAGUGUCUCACACAGCAUAUUGAGUCCCUGCAGCGUUCUGUUCAGCUGAAAGAGGAAGAAGCCGGGCAGCUAAGGGAAUCGCUGGAAAUGCAGAGGGUGGAAGCAAAGAACCUUGAUGUGGAAGCCUUGGAAAAGGUGCACAAAGCCAUUGAUGAGGAGAGGAGGAAGUGGGAGGCAGAAAAAGUGGAAGCUGUGCGUGUGCACUGUAGGAUCCUGGAAGAGCAGAAUGGAAGGAGCCUGGAAAAGAUGAGGAGCGAGAUGCAGCGAGAGAAGAGCAAAGCACUGGCUUUUCAAGAGCAAGUGUUGAAACUAAAAACAACAGUGCAAGAGUUGGAGAGUGAACGCUGUGCACAGCACAGAGAACAGGAGUCACUGCUGGCUGGUAUUUGUAAAUCACUGAAAGAGGAGCACCAGGCACAGCUGCAUCGGUUGCAAAAAGAGAUGGCAGAGGAGAGUCAGAGGAAAGUGCUGCGUAUCCAACAGGCCAGUCAGCUGGCAGAGGAAGAAGCUGGCAGGCUGCGGGUGAUGCUGGAGGAAAAGGAGAGCAGCCAAAACCAAAUCACAGCUGAGCUGGACCAGCAGCUCAGGGCCUGGACGACAGAACUGGGGACAGAGUGCCAGCAUCUGCACCUCUUAGUGGAACAGUGUGGAGCCAAACAAAGGGCUUUGCACCUUCCUCUCAGUCCUACUGCAGCUGAAGCUCUUGCAAACCUGAGAACACUGAGGGAACACCUGAAGCACUUGAUUAGUCACCUACAGCAAGAGCUUGAGUCACAGAAACAAACCAGUCAGCAGCUGCAAAAAGACAAGGAGCGAGAACUGAGUAUCCAGAGGCAACAGCUGAGGGUGGAGAGAGAUCAGGCUUUGGGCUUCCUGAAGGAGCAGCUCAUUCUGGAGCACGUUGAGGAGUUAAGCAGGCUGAGUUUGGUUCGUAUGGGUGGUGGAAGAGCUGAUGGAGGAGUGGCAGAAUCUCUCCACAAGCAGCUGAAGGCCAAAGACUUGGAACUCAGACAGGUUCAGAAGAACACGGGCCGGUGGAGGGAACAGACGGCAGCUCGUCUGGCAUCGAGGUUUGAACUACAAAGAAAAGCAGAAGAUGUUCAACGAGAAGGGCAAAAAAUGCGUGAUGGGACUGAAGGAAAGAUGGCCUUUAAUGCUAAGGAAGCUCAGAUUUGCUCUUCCUCCCUUUGUGCCGUGGACUCUGCUGCCUCCUACUGUCCCUCAGAUUCAUCUUCCUUCAAGCUUCUUCGUUAUCUCCAGAGUAAAGUGAAGCAGCUCCGGGUAGAAAACCAGGCCUACAGCAAUAGUUCAGCUCCUUCUAAUUCAGAUCUUACAAGAAUUCAAGGUGGGGACAGUGCUGGGAUCUGGAGCCAGUCUUCAAUCAAUGCACCCUCUAGUUAA